GAUGAAGAACGUAGUGAAAUGCGAUAAGUAAUGUGAAUUGCAGAAUUCAGUGAAUCAUCGAAUCUUUGAACGCACCUUGCACCCUUUGGUAUUCCGAGGAGCAUGCCUGUUUGAGUGUCAUGAAAUUCUCAACCUUUUCAGCUUUCUUUGUUGAUCAGGCUUGGAUGUGGGAGUAUGCGGGCUUCUCAGAAGUCGGCUCUCCUGAAAUGCAUUAGCGGGACCUUUGUUGCCUGGCUUUGGUGUGAUAAUUAUCUACGCCAUUGUAGUCAAGCAGCUUAAAAUGAGGUUUCAGCUUCUAACCGUCUCCCCUGAGACAACUUUUUGACAAUUUGACCUCAAAUCAGGUAGGACUACCCGCUGAACUUAAGCAUAUCAAUAAGCGGAGGA
rnacentral:misc_RNA from 1 species